UACGGGGGGGGGCAAGCGUUGUUCGGAAUUAUUGGGCGUAAAGAGCUCGUAGGCGGUUUGUCGCGUCUGCUGUGAAAACUCAGGGCUUAACUCUGAGCUUGCAGUGGGUACGGGCAGACUAGAGUGCGGUAGGGGAGACUGGAAUUCCUGGUGUAGCGGUGAAAUGCGCAGAUAUCGGGAAGAACACCCGUGGCGAAGGCGGUUCUCUGGGACGGUACUGACGCUGAGACGCGAAAGCGUGGGGAGCGAACAGG
rnacentral:rRNA from 1 species